rnacentral:rRNA from 1 species
UAGGGAAUCUUCCACAAUGGACGAAAGUCUGAUGGAGCAACGCCGCGUAAGUGAAGAAGGUUUUCGGAUCGUAAAGCUCUGUUGUUGGUGAAGAAGGAUAGAGGCAGUAACUGGUCUUUAUUUGACGGUAAUCAACCAGAAAGUCACGGCUAACUACGUGCCAC